AUGUUGGAAAGUGUGCAGAGGAUGGAGAAAGGUCUGGAGGAAUGGCUGAGGGUGUUUCAGGACACUCAGGGAUCUUCAGCUCUGAUCUCUGUGACCGAGACAGGAUCCUGGGAAUGGCUGGAGCUGUGCCAGGGGAGGUUUAGGAUGGAUUUUAGGGAAAGGUUUUCCUCCACAGAGUCCCCAGAAAAUGGGAUGAAGCUGUGCCAGGGGAGGUUUAGGAUGGAUUUUAGGGAAAGGUUUUCCUCCACAGUGCCCAGGCUUCUCAGGAAAUGGGAUGAAACUGCCAGGGAAGGUUUAGGAUGGAUUUUAGGGAAAGAUUCUUCCUCCACAGAGUCCCCAGGAAAUGGGAUGAAACUGCCAGGGGAGGUUUAGGAUGGAUUUUAGGGCCCCCAGAGGGUGCUGGGCACACCCAGGCUCCCCAGAGAAUGGGGAAUGGGGUGAAGCUGUGCCAGGGAAUGUUUAGGAUGGAUUUUAGGGAAAGAUUUUUCCUCCAGAGAGCCCCCAGGGAAUGAGGUGAAACUGUGCCAGGGGAUGUUUAGGAUGGAUUUUAGGGAAAGGUUCUUCCUCCACACUGCCCAGGCU
rnacentral:lncRNA from 1 species